rnacentral:misc_RNA from 1 species
AAAAUUUCUGCUUGUUCUGUAAACAAAGCUUGCGAUAAUAAACAUGAUCGCAAAAAUUAUUGCAUGAUUCUAAUCCUGGCUUGAAGGUACAAGGAAAUUGAAAUUGAUUAGAAGACAUUAACAUACUGUGCGUUCAAUGAGCUUCACAUGAGCUUAUCAAUGAUGCCUGUUUCCAGAUCAAAUAAAGUAUAUUCCCUAACUCAAUGAUAACAAUGGAAAUUCCUUAUCAGAAAAUUUUGACAGCUUUUCUCAGACAGAGGAAAGGUUUACCAACUAUAAAUAUUUGUCACAACAGUUUCUUUACAAGACAACUUGUUUUGAUUUGCAAUCUACAUAACUGUGAUUUCAACCUCGUAUAACUUCCAGAUUAUUCACACCCACCAGUCACCUAUACCAACGCUUCGGCCUGGACUGGCAUUCUUCACUACCCUUUUCUCUUUGCUUUUUCACAAAGGAAAACAUUUUCUCACAAAACCCACAUGACAAAAAAAAAAAAAAGACAAAACGGAAAAUUUUGGAUAGCCAAAACAAUCAUUUUAGGGAAACUUCAGAAGUACAGCUACUAAUUGGCAGAUCACUGGGAGUGCAUACCAUAGCCCUUUGCUGUAAAUGUCUCAAGCUCUGUUCCAUACUAACUUGCACCAUCUCAGCUAGCAUUUUCUUUGCUUUACUCGAUUGAUCAUCUCCAUCUAUAUGGGAGAUAAUGUUGCACACAAUAUUCUGUAGUGCGUCUGGCUGAAGCUCAGAUCUUGGAUAUGGAGUAUCCCUCGAUAACUGCAACAGGGCUUGUGCUUUAAUCUGAGACUUGGGAGUUCCUUGAACGGUAAGCUGGAGAAGUCCAGGGAUCACACCUUCUCUGAGAAUUGGUUCUCUAUAUUUGCCUCUAUCACUCUGACACAUGGUCAGUAAUGCCCCAACUGCAUGCUCUCGACUUUGGAGAGACCCAUUUUCUAAUACUUCAACAACAGCCAGAACUCCACCUUCUUCAGACGUCAAUGCCGUUCUACCCUCAUCAAAACCCACUAAAGAUUCUAUCAGAGCACAACAUUUUUCGGCCAUUUUUGAAGAUUUUUUACAGGUCUUCAGCAAACAAACUAGAGAAGGGAUUGGAUUGGUUUCUAGAACAAUGCUGAGACUAUCUGUGUGUGUUGAAAGAUUACAAAGAGCCAUUACAGCAUCAAACUUGGCUUGUGAACUUCCAUCCCUGAGGAUUUCCACAAGCAGAGGAAUUGCACCUGAAGCACUUAUAAUCGGCUUAUUAGUGGUAGAUGCAGAUAAAGUAAGCAAAGAUGCUGUUGCAUACUCCUGUAAGUUUAAAUUCUCUGACUGAAGAAAGCCAAUUAUCGGUUCUAAGCCUCCAGAUUCAACAAUGCUUUUCUUGUUCCUGCAAAAUAAGACACGAUUAUAUGAAUUUGGAGAAAGUAAAACAAUCAAAUGCAAAUUUUGCUAUGCCUAAAGCCUAAUCUCUUGUCAAAACAGAGGGCACAUACAAUAAAAAGCACCAACAUUAAGCCUCCAUUGCAAACUUAGCACAAAUAAACAGUAAAAAAAAUCAAGUUUUAAACACCCUAAAGUAUCUAAUACAGACAAUAGGAUGGAGCAAAUGGAAAUUAAACGACAAUAGCAACUAGCAAGUCCCUGAAACUCAGCAGGAUGCACAGAGCAACUUCCCAAAUAGUUGGAUUAGCAACAUAAAUUUCUACACCACUAGCGAAUUUAUAUCAUUGUCACAAGUCCUGAGAUUUCUGCACUUAUAGCACAUGAAUUUGAAUUAGCUUCUCAAAAUAAUCAGACUGCAAUGAAAUGAUGUCCUAUAAAAGAUAUAAUAUCAACUAAAAUGACUUUAUUGAUCUCAUCC